GUCAGCAGCUAAUUGGCGGGUCCCUAUAAGAGGUCUUGGGUCGGGCGUCCGGCCACUCUCCUGCCUGGGCUGCUGCUCAACGGGGCAGGGGGGUGGGGUGGGGCGGGGGUGGUCUGUCCAGUGAUUCAGCCACAUGUGAUAGAUGACCAAGUGACUGCUUUCUUGGAGUCCGCACACCAGUGGAAGACUCUCAAAGUGGUUGUGACCGACUUGAUCAAACUCUAGGCUUCCUGAACUGGAAUGAAAUGCAGAUAACUCUUUAGAAAACUUUUGUAGGAAAAGCGCCUCGUGUGAUCUGGAACAAAGACGUUUUAUAAUCAGAUUUAUCAAGCUGCGAAGAGGGAGUUUUAGUGAACGGAAGCAGCAGCAUUCUGUCACCAGGAAAUACUCCUUUAUCCAGAAUUGGUAAGUGAAAAGUGGCAUUGCUCCCUAAUAGAUAUCAUAUGUGUGUGUGGGAAUUGAAAAAUUGUUCACAGACCCCUAACAACUGUGUUGAACAGAGAACACAUAAACAGUGAAGAGUUCUAAAAAAGAGCAGCACAAGAAUACCGCAUAAAGACUGAGAAGAAGCCAGGUAAUUAACAAAAAUGAGCUGAGUGCUAUCAGUUUAGCUAAACAUAUGUAAUACAGCUAGAUUUGGUUGUUUUAUUUUUUCUUGUUAGUGGAGGAGAAACAUAAAAUCAGAAUGGGCUGUUUAGCAGAAUUGCGACAUUAACUUUCCAUGGAUGUAGAUUUCCAUUUAGUCUGAAUAGCAUGUAUGAAAUUUGAAGGGAUGCUUUCAGAAUUAGUCUACUUGCCCUCCUUUCCUUUCCUCUGCAUUAAGAUGUCAAGUAUUUAGUUAGAACCUUGCAAGAUGAAAGUUGUACAAAAUGAAAGUUCAAGUAAUGCGUCGGAAACACCUCCUCCUGAUUGGGAAGGGUAGAUUACAAUGGCAAUAGAUUUUUGUUUUUUGUUUCUUACAUUUGUGUCACGAAUUUUAAGUUUGUUCUAUUUGAUUACAUUAGUACAGCAAAACGGGGGUUAUUUCUGUCUAUAUGGUUCAUGACAUUUUGAGAGAUCGUGAUUAGUAGUUCUUACUGGUUUCGUAUGCAUGUUCCUGCCUGUUGAAUUCAGUUUUCUAAUCUUGAAUCUGAGCUGCCUUUAUGUUUAAGGGUUCUAGAAAAAGACAAUAAAGCUUUGAAUACCUGUGUUAUAUACAACAGGUUCCUGUUCAUGAUGUAUAAGGUAACGCAAUUUUAUUUUAGGCAUGAAUGUCUAAUUUCUUGAUUUGGCUUCUUUAGAAUAUACCAAAAAGGUUGAAUAGAAUAAGAAAAAGAACAUUAGAAAAGAAUGGUGGGUGACUGCCUGAUUUUACUAGUUUCUUAUUGGUCAAUAGAAGUAAUCAUGUGAUGUCUACUUAUAGAAGCAAAUGGAAAAAGUUUUUCUUCUUUAACUGCUAACAAUUAUAUAGGCAACUUUAGCAAUCUUCAUUUAUUAAUUUGAAUAUAUAAUUAUAACUGUUAUUAACAGAAUAAGUUUUGGGUAAUAUAGGAAAUAAUUAUUUCUUUCUUUUUAAGCCAAAUUGGAAGUUGAAUCUACUUUUGGUUCCUAUUCUGUUACUUUCAAAAUCUUAAAAUCCUUAACUCAAAAGGGAAAAUGUAUAAUAAAACAGGAUAGCAGUGCUGAAAUUUCUCUCUCUUAGCAGUGGAGUGGGAUGAGGGUGGGGGAGGGAGAUGAAUCUAGUGAGAUAUAUUAAUUGUUUUUUUCCCCUCUUGUAUACUUGGAUAACUUCUGAGAUCAUUUUUCUCAGACUAGCAGCUCUCAAGACUUUUGCAUAAGUAUUUAUUCUUAAAGAAAUAGAAAGACAAGAUAAGCACGGCUCUUAAGGGCAGGUCCUCCAAUAAGUCAGGAAACUGGUGAUCCAAACUUGUGAAUAUGACAAGUCAAUUUGCCUUAAUUAAGGUGUGGCGUUAGUUUUCUUGAAGCACAUGAAUUUAUAGGUUUUUAGAGUCUUGAAGACAGAAAAAUGGCAACAAAGCAUUAAGGUAUUUAUAGGUAAUUUAUAUUCAACUGCUAGCUUAUGUUUUCAACUCUGUAUUUCAUGUAAGUAAAUACUUGAGGAGAACAUGAUGAUUUAAUAAUCUGGACAAAUACUGCCUUGCCUGUUGGAAAAAAGCCUCUAAUUUUUAGGUUUUCCUCAUCCAUUUAAAAUCCAUUGUUUUGAAUGACAAAAUGUGAUAGAAGCAGGUCGGAACAGUAAAUGCUAGAAAGUAUAUCCCAGAAGAAUUAACUGAGAACUUCAUGUUUUCAAUUCUAUUUGCCGUUCUCUGUUCUCAAUUUAUUAAUUUUUAAAAGUACAAUGAAAGUGAGUAACAUUGCUUGCUCUGAAUUCUCCUCUGGGGUCAUUGAGAGUAUUCACAUUUUCAUAUACCCUGUUAAAAGAUAUUAAUGCCACGCAUGUGCCUUUGUCUUUGUGGGUAUGUAAAACAACAAACUGAAGGGAUCUGGUCAAGAGACAGACCUCAAAAUAAUUUCUCUGAAAUAGUAUUUGAAUUUGCGUGUUCGGGAAUGUAAAUGCUUUCCCUUUGGGCUUGUUUCUUAAGUUUUUGGUGUAGUAUACAGUUUUACCCAAUUAAAUUUUUCUUUUGAGGUCUGUAUAUGUAUGGGUGUCUAUAUUUGAUUUGAAGGGGGAGUUUUAAUCAUUAGCGAAACAAGUGGCUGUUUGUUAGAACCCAGAUAAGCCUCAUAGUGUUGUUCCUAUGACAACUGAGUAGUUGGGUGUUGAAAUGUAGCUUUAAGUUCUUGGUUUGGAAAUGUCAUUCAGACCUCCCACUAUAGUCUCAUUGAGUAGGAGGAUAAUGAGAAGGGGAAAAACCAUGAAGCAACAUAAGUAUCUCCGUUCGUUUCAUGUCUUCCUGACUUGUCUUUGUGUACAGGAUCGCCAUGGGAGUGGUAAACAUAGGUCUUGAACAAAGCAAUACUUCAAUAAAAAAAAUACAUGGAAAGGGGUCAGAAAAGUUGGGGAAGAUAAAUAACAACACAUGGGGGCAAUAAAGAGGCAGGAGAAAUAGGCUUCCAUGGGUUUCUGCAAAUCCUUUAUCCAGUACUGACCAGCAGUGAGAACAUCUUGAACCAGUUAUUGUAUAGCUCUUCAAGAGCUGUGAAUUUCCUUAAAAUGCAAUGUGGAGAAAAUUCCUUUGGUAGCAGGAUGGUUUACCACUUUGGCAUAACAUUUAUUCAUCUCCCCCAGGCAGACUACAGAGGAUACUGUGUUCUUUUAAGGCGCAUGUUUUUAAACCAGUUGUUCAUUUGUCAUUUAGUAGCUUUUGUCUUUUUUUCUAUGGGAAAGACAAGGUUGUACUAUUAAAAUAGUGAUAAAAUUUAAGUAUUUUAUUCUAUAUUCAAAAAGUGCUUUUGAAAAGUACUUAGAAAAAGAUUGUUUGAGACCUGUUGUUUGUGGAAAUGUCUGUCAAUGGAGAAUCUGUGGAGCACUGUAUUUGAGGAGAGGGAUUGUUUAGACUAAUAUUUGACAUAGCUUAAUUAUGCAGUUGCUGAUUUUCCAUGUCUGAGGGUCUUCCUAUUUCCUACUCCUAAAUAGUUUUAACUAUUUAUUUGGUUGCUAGAACCUCCUGAAGUUAGAAAGAAAAGGAUUUCAGUGGGGUUAGUCUCUUACUUAAUAAAUAUAUGCCCACCAUCUCUUCUGUAAUCCAAAAAGCUCUGAAAAUCAAAAGAUUUUCAUGUAACAAAUUUGGCAGCAAAUCCUGACCUGAACUGAUGUGAAGCUAAUGAUAGUCUUUGUUUAGCUCGCUCAGAAUGAAUCUUUGUAUGUUUUACUGUAGAAGUAUUAAUGUGUUUGAUCACGGAGUAUUGUUCCAGACUCCCCUAGAAGUUUAUAUACUGUGUUGAGUAGUCAACCUAUUACCUUUAUAAAAUAAUGAUAAUAAUCAAUCUGAGUGUCAGGUAAGUAUUUGUGGACCCAUAAUUACUGACAUACAUUGAGUUCAUAUUAUAUGUCAGGUACCGUUCUAAAUGAAUCACUGGCAUCUAAGAACAGUGUCUGGCACAUAGUAGGUACUUAGUAGACACGUUUUGGUAGGAACUGCUUUACACUUAUUAAAUUCUUUAACCCACAAAAACAGUAUACAGGAAGUAGUGGAGCCAAGAUUUGAAAGCAGACAGUCUAGCUCCAAUCUGCUCUUAAUGAUUCUGAUGCAGGUACAAGAGAGGACUGGAGAUGUGGCACUAGACUUCUUAACUGAGUCAGAGGGGGUGUUUGAGUGAUUUACUUUAUUCAUAGUCACCCUAUACCUCCUACGAUCAAGAGCUGGUGAUAUCACCACUAUGGUCAUUAACCGGGGCUGUGGUGGAAUGCUUAUAACAGAUUCUCCUGGGUGGGAGUGUAGGAAUUCCAGGGGUCUGAACUCUCCUCACAGGCUUCCCAAGGUGAUCUCCAUCAGUAAAUCAGCCCGACUUUUUCAUCUUGAAAAAUUAAGACAUAGGAAAUAACUCUUUCCUUAAUCCUAAGGAAGUUUCCUUGAACAGCGAGAAAAACCUUUUUGUAGACAUUCUUUAGACCCUUUACCCAGCAGGAGGUGUGGAAUCAAUAAAGAGGGCAUGGGUCACCUCCAAGGUUGUGAGCUCCCUGGCUUGGGAACUACACUGGGACACAGCAAAGCCUCUUGGGAGAAAUCAGACAGCCCAUGGAGCUUCAGCUGCAUGACUCUGAAUUCACAAAAGGAUACCUUUAACAGUACUUCUCAAAAAAUGUAUAUAAGGCAUGUCUCAAGUCCCUAUAUGUUUCUAGGGAUAAAAAAAUUCAUUUCAGACUGAUGGCAACCUCCCCAUUCUAUUCCCCAGCUUUCUAUCCGUCUUCCUGCUUAAUUUUUCUUCUUAGCACUUGCCUCUGUCUGACAUAUUGUAUGUCUUACUUAUUUAUUCAUUUGACAUUUUAGUUAGACACUAGCAGUAUUGUUUUCUUUGAAUACAUUUGAAGGUCCUAGAUUUAUUUCUUUUUGAUGUUCAUCUUCUAACUCAUUCCCUCCUAUCAAUCUCAGACUGCUGUAAAUAAAUGAUUUUUUGCCCUUUUUUUUUUUUACUAUUAGUUAUCAUAUUUAUUUUUCUUAAACAAGCUGUACUGGUUAUACAGUCUGAAUUUGGAGAAUACACGUCUUCAUUCAGGAGGGGAAAUUGAGCCAAGUUUGAAUAUAAUCAUUGGGUAACAAAUCCAGAAGAUUAAGUUACUAAGGAGAACAUGCAAAGUAAAUACUUGCAUUUUAUGAACUACCUUCAAUUUAAAUAGACAACUGGGUAACUCGAUAUGACAUGUUUUGGGAGUAAGACCUGUUAAACCUACCUACUUCCUACUGUUUUCAUUUGAAAAAUAAAUCAAUUAUUAAACAGUUAUUCUACACAUUAAAGACUGUAAGUGAUUUAACCUUGAAUAUUUCCUGACUCAAGUUCUUAAAAUCCUCAACUCUAACCUCUUGUUUUUCAACCCCAUAUUUAUUCUAGUUUAUUCUUUCCAACAUAUUUAGGAUAAUCUAAAACAUAAAGUAAAAAAAACCCACAUAUAUUAUUAACUAUAAACAAUGUGGUUAUGUAAAUGCAUCAUUUUAGUUGAUCUUUUUUCUUCAGCCUAGUUCUUUUUUUCUUUUCUUUUCCCUUUUUUUUUUUUUUUUUUUGAGACAGAGUCUUGCACUGUCACCCGGGCUGGAGUGCAAUGGCGUGACCUCGGCUCACUGAAACCUCCACCUCCUGGGUUCACGUGAUUUUCCUGCCUCAGCCUCCCGAGUAGCUGGGAUUACAGGCGCACACUGCCACGCCCGGCUAAUUUUUUUUUAUUUUUUAUUUUUUUAUUUUUUUAUUUUUAGUAGAGAUGGGGUUUCACUAUGUUGGCCAGGCUGGUCUUGAACUCCUGACCUCGUGAUCUGCCCGCUUCUGCCUCCCAAAGUGCUAGGAUUACAGGUCUGAGCCACCACACCUGGCCUAGACUAAUUCUUAAAGGAACAGAUUAGAUACAUAUGAAAGUUGAAUUUAGUAUGCUUUUGUAAGUUAAUAUAAUGAUUGAGACAUUUUGUUUUCUUAGCUAUAUUUUAUAACAAAAUAGUUCUAGUUACUUUCUUUUAAAUGGUUACUAAAGUAAUAACUUUAUUUUUAAAAACAUAGUAUAACUAUUUAAGGUAGACUAUGAAGAGUAGGCUAAGGUUUCAUUUUAAAUUAUCUCCCCUUUCUGCCAUGGAAGAGUUUAAUUCCCCUGAUGUGCUUAUGGUAUUGAAAGCCCAUUGUUGGUGUUGAUAUUGAAAGAAAGCUUAGUUUUUCUGCAUUUCCUAAAAGGAGAGGGAAGAAAGACUUUUAAAAGUGAAAAUCCAUUGAUUUGUUUUUUCUUGAUUAGGAUUUAUGUAAUAUAUCUGAAGUGAGACUAGAGUUCUUAAAGUUGAGAGAAACAGUAAAUAUGUACACGCCUGGCAAAACUUUGCAGGGAACAUUCAGAGUUCAGAUUACCUGAAAAAAAUCUUGAAAGCUUCAGACAUUUUCCAGAGAGUGUUAGUGCGUGAAAGUGGUACCCAUGACCCCAAGAGGGUGUCCAUUCACAGCAUCCAUUGAAGUAGUUUACUCCCUAAGAGGCCCAGGCUUUGGAAAUAAGUAGAUUUGUGCUUUAAGCUCCCUUUGCCCCUUGCUAGCUGAGUAAGCUACUCCGCUAUUUCCCUGAGCCCCGGAGUGUAGAGCAUCAGAAGUAGUGCACAGGUUUGUUGCGUGAGAUAACACAUGUAAAGCACAUGCUGUGGAACCUGGAGUAAUGAUGCUUAACACACUUGCAUUCCCUUCCAAAAUCCCUUUAGGAACAGACUUCUUCAGUCUAGUCCUAAAGCCUGUAGAUCCAUGCUAAGUGAUAUGACUUUUUUUCACAUCGGAUUAAGCAAAACACUGAUGAUGGUGACUGUCGCUUAUUGUGCAUAGACCUGCAUAGACCCAUUUUUCCUCAUGACAAACUAUUGGUGCAAUUAUCAUGUCCAUUUCAUAGAUGAACACACAGAGGCACAGAGAGGUAAAGGAACUUACUUAGGGCCACUCAUCUGUCAUGGAACCAGAAUCUAAAUCCAAAUAGGCUGUUGCCAGUACAGAUGGUAAGUACAUGUACUUAUGGCAGGAAAGCAGAAUAAAAGUUGACUGAACCUGAAAGUCUCGGAAAUGGUCUUCUCAUUUCUAUUCUGUAAAGUGUCACGUCUUCUAGGCCUUCCUCUCUCAAUAUUGAAAUACAAAAUUAACUUUUUCUGCUUUUUAUUUCACAAAUCAACGGGAACAGUCUUAGUCAUUUGUGUUUUAUGAGUUUUAAUUAGGCCACUGCAGUCCAGGAGGGGAAUUCCUUGUUUUCAGUUGAUCUCAUAUACUAACAAGUUUACUCAUGUAACUUCCCCUAUUUUUUUCUCUAACGUUUUCACUUGAAAGUGGGGGUGGGAGGGAGAAGUAUGUUAGCAUUUGAGUCCUAGGGAUGCACUUACAUCAACCUUUCUGGAAAUUCCUUCUUGCUGGUAUAGAACUAAUCCAUAGAAAAAUGAAAUGAGUAAGAAUCUGUAUUUACUAAUAUUUUUCUUCUUUAUCUCCAUCUAGUUCUGGAUAUUUUCUGGAGGAUGGGGUAAAACUUCUAGAUAAAGAAGUACAGGAAGCCAUCUACGUGCAUAAAACCUUAUGUUUGGGUGUGGACUUAAUUUUCAGAAUAUGGGAAAGGGGUUUCAUGUUGAGAAUUUCCUCUUUCAGAUGUAGAUUGAGAAUUUUGACUUAGAAGAUGAGGGCAGGUUAUCCUAGCCCGUGGGUUCGGAGUGCUUGGAAAUAUCUUUAAAAAAAAAAAUCCCCUGGCCUUGGACUGAGCCUGCUCUUGGGGGAUUUAUUAAUCAUGCCUGCCUUCAUUCUUUUCUUUGUUUGUUCGUUCCUUCAUUUGUCCAUAUUCUCUCAUAAGUCGUUCAACAUCUACCUGCAAAUAGGUGAAAGAAAGGAUGGGAGUGAGAGUCCAUCAGGGGACGGGAGACGAGUAGCAAUAAACUCACUCUAUGUUCCUUUCACCUCACUGACUGCAUCUUGUAUCUGAUUGUUUGCCCCUUUUCACAGACAGACACUCUUAACACUCGUGAAGGUCUUUAAGCAUCUUCCUUUGGGAGCCGAGUUUCUUGUUUUAAAGUGAGAGGAGAAAAUGCUUGUGAGGGAAAAACAAUGCAGAGAAAUGGUUUUUCUUUCUUUCUUUUUAAUGUUGGCGGAAGAAGGGUUCAUAGUAGGGAACAUAUCAGUAAAUAUAAUCUAAGAGCACCCAUGCUUUCAAAUAAUUUCCUUGUUUAAAGAAUAUUAAGUGCAGUGGUGUUUACAAUUAGUGAUCACAACCAGUUACAGAUUGCUUUGUUCUUUCUCUACUCCUGCUGCUUCACUUGCCUAUGCUUGUAAAAAAAAGAACAUUAAGAGACAACAAAGGCCAUCACAAAGAUGUCUUAAAAAUAAUUUUAAAAUAGAAUUUUAAUUAAUUUAAUGGUAAGAAGUGUUGCCAUGCCCUCAGUCAAAUUUAUUAUGACUUUUUGAAAAUAUCUCUAAGUAAAUAUAUAGAAAUGAGGAAUGAAGAUCGGAGAGGGCUUUUGGAAUUUAUACUACUAUUCUUUCAAAAAAUAUUACUCGUCUCCAUGCUGCAGUUAGGAAUACACUUCCUUAAGACAGAGUCAUUAUCUUUACUUGUUAUUUAAGUCUUGAUAUCACCUCCUGUAGUUUUUGAAAGACAUCACUCUUCAAGUUUUCUUCAAUGGCACAAACUAUACCUGUGCAUUUUCUGAAACAAGUUUGACCAUACCAGCAAAGGCAAUGAAAAUGCUCUGUCUUUCAGCAUGAAAUGUGAAGUCUACAUUAUUAGUAGGUAUAUAUGGCCCAAGGGAAGAAAAUGUUAAAGCAGAUUUAAAAACAAAAACAAAAUCACUCACACUCUAAAAGAAUGUCUCAGUAUUUCAAGGCUCUUCUCUCUCUCUAUGUUAAAGCCAAUAAGGAGGCCUCAGGACAAGUUAGGUUGAUAAUGACAGUGAAUGUCUACCUUUCUCCCCAUUCCGUUUGACAUCCAUACUCCAAAAGACCUUCCCUUAUUUUCUAUGCCUGGGUAGUAGGGAGAUUACAGAGAAACUGUUCUUUUUCCUGCUUUCUUUUUUACUGCUGGGGGAGUGAUCACUUUCCUACAGCUCUUGUCCACCUGGCCCUUGAUGCGUUUGGAAUUUUGGUAAGGUGUUAAAAAUGGUCUCAGGUGCCAACUAAAUUUCAUAAGCUUGUAGCAGCACAACAGACUAAGACACCACAUGGGAAAUGUACAUUUUACAAAAAUAUAUUGCACAUCUACCAUGUCUACCAUGUGCCAUACAGAGUUCUGGGUCUGAUAAUACAGCAGUGAAUAAAGUCCCUGCUCACAUGGAGGGGAUAGGCUAACGGUGAUGGAACUCAUAAGUAUACGGCAGGUGUUAGUAAACACUGCAGAGAAAAAUAAAGCUGUGUCAGAGAGAGAGUACCUGGGGAUCAGGGGUAGAGCGAUGUUAACCAGGGCUAAUAGGAAGGCCUCUUUGAUAUUAUGAGGCCAGUGAGGAGUCAGCUAUGGGAGUGUCUGGAGGAAGAGGAUUCCAGGCAGAGAAAAUAAAAAAGUAACUGUAAUAGAGACAGGAGCAGGCUUUGUGUGUCCAGGAGACACAUCGUAGCAGAUCAGGUGGGACUCUGUUGGCCACAAUAAGAAGCUGUUUGGAAGGUAAGAAAUGAUAACUAGAGAGAGUGAAGAUGGUAUUCUGAGAGUCUAGGUGAUUUAUUGUAGGGAUCCCCGAGAGUCAAGCCCCUUGUGCCUCAUAACUGGAGUGUUUACAAGUCGUGUAAGGCCUUCUUGCAGUCAAAUGCUACUUUUGUAAUUUAAAUUAUUAUGCUAUGAAAACCUUAGCAGAGAUAGAUAAAGUUGAACUAUUUGAAGCACAAUUACAGCUAAAAAGCGCAAAGUGGGCAAUUCUUCCUAUCACAUCUACUCCUCAGAGAGAUGUGGGGUACCUAAAUGUCUAACUGUGGAAUGUUUUCAUUUGAUUUAAAUUUGCCAAAAACUCAUCUUCCAUAAGGCAUAUCUUUGCUGAUUUUUGCACUCAGUAACAAGCAGUUUAGAAUUUUGAACUGAAGGGAUUUUAAAUACAUGUUUAAAGUGCUUUCAUUUUAAAAUAAUUCUUAGUUUUAUGUUCAGUCAGAUGAUAAGCUCCUUAAAAUUCUGUAUGAAAACUUACUGUUUGGUACAGGUUAAGAAGUCUUGUUAUACAGUACUUAUUUUACAAUUAGAGGUACAAAGAGUGCGGAAAAAUAAAGGCAAUUGGCCAGGUGGGAAGGGUAAAAUUGUUUUAUGUACCUUUUCUCUUUUAAAGUUGUGUUAAAAACAUUUUUGUAAUUUCUUUAAAGGUGGAGUUGAUUGCCAUAAAUUGAUUGCAGCCCCCUGUCAUUACUUCACUAUUAUACUGUGAUAUUAAAUGCCCCACCUUUUGUGUAAGGAAGUGGGCAAGUUCUGUCAUCUGGGUGUUUACAUGUUAAGAGACAUUGCACGGGUGAGAACAGACAUAAAAUGUAUAUCUAAUUAUAUCGACAACAUACAGGGCUUAGAAAGGGGCUUGAUAGCCUUUUAUAGGUGUCGUCCAGGUUUAUCUUACUUGAAAUACUGCCUGAGACUCUAUACCUAAUUCUUAUCACAUAGCCUGACUUUCUAUUAGUCAAUGAUAGAGUUGGGUUGGGUUAACCCUCAUAUUCUUUUAGCAAGGGACCCACCUGCAGAAAAGAGUUAUUGGUUUUGUCAUUUAUAGUUUAGUUCAACAAGACCGGAUUUCCUCACCGCCUUUGGCUGAAACUGACUGACUAAAUCAGUUUCACUUGUGGGGUAGAGAAAUGAGUAAUUUGGGAACAUACAGUGUUGUGUGGAGGAGAGCUUAGUUUGCUCCUCUUCAUCCUCCCCUUAGGUGAGAAGUCUGCAUUGAGAGAGGGAGAAAGAUUUGGGCAUGGGGAAACUGACCCCCUUGGGUGAGUCACAUUGGGAAUUAAGAGAAAGAUGUAAAAAUGGACCAGGAGAGGAUGUACGGAAGCCCCAGGGGAGCCAGAGAAUUUCUGGUCCUAAGCUCAAGUGUCAAUCUCAGUUCUGCCUAGCAUCUUGGACAUGCUGUCCCUUCUGGCUUAUCUCCUGUGAGACAAGGGGCAUACUCCUGACUUACUGAGCAUCCCAUCUCAGAGGAGCUGGGAGGACAAGGAAUUCAGGAAUGGACUUUCAAGACAACACCUUCCCCAAGUCUUCUGCAUACAUUUCUCUACUGAAUCUACUUUCUAAGUGUAGAUUAAUGUCUAAGAGAUAGACAUUAAGUUUCUUUUUCUACCAGCCUCUGACCCCCUUGCUUUGAGGAAAAUACAUGUGUUGUCCAUGAAGUGGUGAGUUCUGUUUGGUCCUUCCUUUAAGAUUGGUCCGGGGCUUGAGCCGUUUUGCCCCAUGUGCUAUGGGAUUUCCCCUGGUUGUCCCCCCAUAUAAGUAGACAACUUGCUGUCUGUGUUCUAAGACCUUCAUAUUUUUCCCUUUGACUUGAGUCUGUUCUGGAACAAUUGUGUGGUGGCUGGGCACUGCAAAAUGAGUCAGUUCCUGCAGUUCGGUUACAAGUUCUCAAAAAGUAUUUCAGAAUGUGGAUGUGGUCAGCAGAGUCAUUUUCCAGACAUCUAAAAGGAAACCCACAUCAACUGUAACAACUGAGCUACGAACCGAUGGCUCUACACAACAGAAUGGGGCCUGCUUUUCCUCAAAGCUUGUAGGUGCCCUCAAAUCUAGCAUUCUCUAUGGAUCGGAAAGGAGAAUUCAUCUUCAUGCUUGUAGAUCACAUUUUAUCUGUUACUGCUGAUAUAAAAAAAUGCAGUAGAGGUUUUGGCCUUCAUCACCUUUUGAAUGUGGGCACAAAUUUGUCAUAAGAAAUAAUUAGUAAAAUGGAAUCUAUGGGAUUAGAGUAUAAUUAGUGCAAAGUGUGAAAUGUGGCUUAGGGAUAGAUGCUUGGGUAAUUGAGCUAAUGCACGAAGGAGAGGUUACAAUGGUUUCAGUACCAAUAGAGUACAUCGAAAUAUGCUUAUUUGGUUUACUAAUAGUCUGAACCUGUGCAGACUUAGCAACAAUACUGAUAAAAUAUCAUUAAAUCCUUUUCAAGCUUUAAAAGAAGUUCAGAUUUGUCAUAACAUUCGGAGAAUAUUUUCGCUGCACACAAGUUUUGGAAAAUAAUCUUAGUGAAUUUUUUUAUCCUCUUGGGUAUCAUGAAUUGUAAAAUUUUGUUGCAGUUCUCAGUUACCAGUCUUGCUCCACUCAUUAAAACUGAUGGCAUUUUCAAUAAUAAGAAAACAAAAUUUAAAAAUGGGUAAACGAUUUGGACAUGGAAGAUACGCCAAUGGCAGAUAAGCACAUGAAAAAAUCUUUUCAAUGUCAUUAGUGAAACACAAGUCAAAACCACAAUGAGGUACUGCUACACACCUAUCUGAAUGGCUAAAAUUUAAGAAGCCAGCCAUGCCAACUGUUGGUAAGGAUGUGUAGGAUUUAGAACUCUCAUGUAAAAUGAUACAAACAUGUCAAACAUACACCUAUCAUAUGAUUCAGCUGUUUCACUCCCAGAGAAAAGAAAGCAUGUGCUCACCUGAAGACUCGUACAUGAAUAUGCAUAGUAGUUUUAUUAGUAAUAGCUAAAAGUCGGAAACAAUCCUAAUGUCUAUCAAUAGGUAAAUGGAUAAAUUGUGGUGUAUCUGUGUGAUGGAUACUACUCAAUAAUAAGAAGGAAUGAACUAUUGAUACCCUCAAUAACAUGGCUGACCCUAACCCAUGAGAGUCGUAUCAUAUGAUUCCAUGUAUACAGAAUUCUGGAAAAUGUGGAAGCAGAUCAGUGGUUACCUGGAGUAGGGGAGAUGGGGGUGGCAAGAAAGAGGGGUUACAAAAAGGCCCGAGAAAACUUUUGGGCCGGUGGAUAAUUUCUCUGUCUUGUGUUGAUGGUUUCAUGGGUGUAUAUAUGUCAAAACUUAUCAAAUUGUACAAUUUAAGUAUGUGCAGUUUAUCAUAUGUCAGUUAUUCCCUAAUUCUUACAAAAAUCUUAAAAUAAGAAAUCAUUGUUAUAGUAGAUGGAAGGCUUUAAAAUGCCCUUAUUUGGCAAAAUCAGCAUUUCUUGGGGGGAAGGGGGAACCUGAUAGAGUUUUAAAUGGUUUGAGGACAGAAAUACAACCUUCUAGUACAGAUGAGAAACCAAAGUUAAACAGUGAACAUAGUAAAUGGGAUCUCUUUAGUCCCUUUUGUUUACAAAGCAUUUGAACAAGUGGUUCAGGAAGUGUCUUUUCCAGCAUGGUGGUUCCAGCUGCCUGCCCGACUUCUAAGCAUUAGCACUUAAAUAAAUCUACUGUAGCAGUCUACCGUGCAAUGUGGCUAAGACAUCCGAAGCUGCUGUGUUCAGAUUGCAAAGAUAAGACAUGAAAAUCCCCACUUUCAGAUUCUAUCAUUGUUAGAGAAAUAAAUCUCUCAUAUUUACACAGUGCAUGAAAAUUUAUGUAUUUCCAGCUGUAUUGAGGUAUAAUUGAUAAAUAAAUUGUAUAUAUUCACAGUGUACAA